rnacentral:rRNA from 1 species
GGAAAACGGCGGGGAGGUAGACGGCGGAAGACGUGGGGGGAAGGAGUUAGUCGGAAUCACUGGGCGUAAAGAGCAUGUAGGCGGAUUAAUAAGUUUGAAUUGAAAUCCUAGAGCUUAACUAUAGAACUGCUUUGAAAACUGUUAAUCUAGAAGGUGGGAGAGGUAGAUGGAAUUUCUGGUGUAGGGGUAAAAUCCGUAGAGAUCAGAAGGAAUACCGAUUGCGAAGGCGAUCUACUGGAACAUUAUUGACGCUGAGAUGCGAAAGCGUGGGGAGCAAACAGGAUUAGAUACCCUUGAGUC